UAGAUAGCCCUGGAGACUUAAAUCCUCCAUUUAUCCACAGAAGAGUUACAGCACACAUAGAAACAAUGCACGCUGCCUCCCAAUGUCCUGCCACAUUACCUCAGCCCUUCUAAAGAGGGCCCAUCUUCAGAGAAUGAGAAAGUAGUUCUGUCUCUUGCGCAUUCAGUGCUUGGGUUCU
rnacentral:sRNA from 1 species